UACGGAGGUGCAAGCGUUAUCCGGAUUCACUGGGUUUAAAGGUGCGUAGGCGGGCAGGUAAGUCAGUGGUGAAAUCUCCGAGCUUAACUCGGAAACUGCCAUUGAUACUAUUUGUCUUGAAUAUUGUGGAGGUAAGCGGAAUAUGUCAUGUAGCGGUGAAAUGCUUAGAUAUGACAUAGAACACCAAUUGCGAAGGCAGCUUACUACACAAUGAUUGACGUGAGGCACGAAAGCGUGGGGAUCAAACAGG
rnacentral:rRNA from 1 species